rnacentral:rRNA from 1 species
AACGAACGCUGGCGGCAGGCUUAACACAUGCAAGUCGAGCGCCCCGCAAGGGGAGCGGCAGACGGGUGAGUAACGCGUGGGAACGUACCCUUUGCUACGGAAUAGCUCCGGGAAACUGGAAUUAUUACCGUAUGUGCCCUACGGGGGAAAGAUUUAUCGGCAAAGGAUCGGCCCGCGUUGGAUUAGCUAGUUGGUGGGGUAGUGGCCUACCAAGGCGACGAUCCAUAGCUGGUCUGGGAGGAUGAUCAGCCACAUUGGGACUGAGACACGGCCCAAACUCCUACGGGAGGCAGCAGUGGGGAAUAUUGGACAAUGGGCGCAAGCUUGAUCCAGCCAUGCCGCGUGAGUGAUGAAGGCCUUAGGGUUGUAAAGCUCUUUCACCGGAGAAGAUAAUGACGGUAUCCGGAGAAGAAGCCCCGGCUAACUUCGUGCCAGCAGCCGCAGUAACAC